AUGGCCCCCGUCUUCCCGGUGCCGCAGCGGCAGGCCCCAUCCUCGACGCUGCUGUUCCCGCCGCCACAGACACCAUUCACACCUUACUACUACUCGUCGUCUUCUCCGGCGACGUCGUCCCGCCUGACGCACCACGUGACGCUGAGCCUCACCAGCCUGCCCAUCCUGGUGCUCACCGUGCUCGGCAUCCUCACCACCUCCGCGCUCCUCCUCACCUACUACAAGUUCAUAAUUUCUCUCUCCCGCCGCCGUCGCAGUCGCAGCAGCGCCGCCUACGACCAUGAGCUUCCCGUGGUGCACGGGCCGGCUCCUGACGAGGGUCGUGGCGGGCUCGGGGAGCCUGCCAUCCGGGCGCUGCCGGAGUUCAGAUACAGCAAGGCCGCCAAGAACAGCGCCGACGCGAGCGAGUGCGCCGUGUGCCUCGGCGAGUUCCAGGAGGGGGAGAGUGUGAGGCUCCUGCCGGGCUGCCUCCAUGUCUUCCACGCGGAGUGCAUCGGCACUUGGCUCCAGGGCUGCGCCAACUGCCCGCUCUGCAGGGCAGCCAUCACCGCCACCAUCGGCAAACAAGCUCCAUUGAUUGAUCAGCCCCUGAGACCAGAGGAGGUUGUCAUCCAGGUGCAGGUCGACCUCGCCGGCACUGGAGAAGAAGGCACACUGACACAGCAACAAGAAGGCGGCACGGCGGCCUCGAAGAACAGCACCCGCUUCGAUGGAGAUGGCAGUGGCAGCAGCACCGAAGCACAUUGUAGGUAG
rnacentral:rRNA from 1 species